GAUGAACGCUAGCGGGAGGCCUAACACAUGCAAGCCGGGCGGUAGAGUUUCUUCGGAAACUUGAGAGCGGCGCACGGGUGCGUAACACGUGUGCAACCUACCUUUAUCUGGGGGAUAGCCUUUCGAAAGGAAGAUUAAUACCCCAUAAUAUAAUGAUUGGCAUCAAUUAUUAUUGAAAACUCCGGUGGAUAGAGAUGGGCACGCGCAAGAUUAGAUAGUUGGUGAGGUAACGGCUCACCAAGUCAAUGAUCUUUAGGGGUCCUGAGAGGGAGAUCCCCCACACUGGUACUGAGACACGGACCAGACUCCUACGGGAGGCAGCAGUGAGGAAUAUUGGACAAUGGGUGAGAGCCUGAUCUAGCCAUCCCGCGUGAAGGAUGACGGUCCUAUGGAUUGUAAACUUCUUUUGUACAGGGAUAAACCUACCCUCGUGAGGGUAGCUGAAGGUACUGUACGAAUAAGCACCGGCUAACUCCGUG
rnacentral:rRNA from 1 species